CAGUCGCCACGGUAAGACGGAGGGUGCUAGCGUUGUUCGGAAUCACUGGGCGUAAAGGGCGCGUAGGCGGCCUGUUAAGUCGGAUGUGAAAGCCCGGGGCUCAACCCCGGAACUGCAUCCGAGACUGGCAGGCUUGAGACCGGGAGAGGAGGGUGGAAUAUCCAGUGUAGAGGUGAAAUUCGUAGAUAUUGGAUGGAACACCGGUGGCGAAAGCGGCUCUCUGGCCCGGAUCUGACGCUGAGGCGCGAAAGCGUGGGGAGCAAACAGGAUUAGAUACCCCCGUAGUCCCUGUCUCUUAUAC
rnacentral:rRNA from 1 species